UACGUAGGGUGCGAGCGUUGUCCGGAAUCAUUGGGCGUAAAGAGCGUGUAGGCGGCCUUUUAAGUCCUGCGUGAAAUCCUGCGGCUCAACCGCAGACGGUCGUGGGAAACUGGAAGGCUAGAGUGCGGGAGAGGAGAGUGGAAUUCCCGGUGUAGCGGUGAAAUGCGCAGAUAUCGGGAAGAACACCCGUGGCGAAGGCGGCUCUCUGGAACGCAACUGACGGCUGAGACGCGAAAGCGUGGGGAGCAAACAGG
rnacentral:rRNA from 1 species